CAUGUUUGACAUUGUGUGUGUUGUAGAACCCAGGGAAGCAGGCUCAGGAGACCCAGGGCAGCACAGCAGAGCUGAUCGCAGGCCUGGUGCAGCUGGUGCCCUUGGACAAUACAGCCCAGCUCUCCCAGGAGGCCAUGGAGGCUCUGCUGGUGCUGCACCUGCCUGAGACCAUUGAGCUGUGGAACCCUCAGGCCCCCAUUGAAACCUUCUGGGACAUCAGCUCCCUGGUUCUCUUCCUGAUCUGCAAGAAGCUGAUUGGUCACCAGAUGGUGAACAGUACAGAGGUGUUGAAGUGGCUGAGGGAGAUCCUUAUCUGCAGGAACAAGUUCCUCCUAAAGAACAAG